rnacentral:lncRNA from 1 species
CAGGCAUGUGCGGUGGGGGGCAGGGGACCACCUGCCUCUGGUGUGUGCGUCCUGGUGGACGAGAGGCGACCUGUGGGUGUCUCUGUGUUCAAGUGUCCCUGUGCAAAUGUGUGUGAGGGCCAUGCUGUGGUUGCCAGCCCAGGGUUCCAGCGAGGACCUAACCCCAGAGCCCCUAUGUGGCCACCACCCCAGCCUGGCCUGGGCCCGGACCCCGAGCCAGGCGCUCCCUCCGGCCUGCCCACCCGGGUGCUUUUGUCCGUUUCUGAAGUGACAAGAGACACACAAAAGGGCUUUUAAUUAAAUCAAAGGAGGGGGAAACGGGCCAGCCGGGCCGCUAUUAUGUUACCAAAUGCGAAAAUGAAAACUUAUUUUUAAAGCUCUGGUAUUAAUUUGAGAUUAUUCAGAUAGUUAAUUAAAAGUGCAGCAUGUGUUAAAUAUUAUUUCAACAAAGAUUAUCAUCGGGCCUGCCUGUAAUGCGAUCUGCGGGCUGGGGAGCUGUAUGCAAAUGCCCUGCAGCGGGAGGAAGGGCCCACAGCGAGGCAGCAGCCAGCAGUGGACGGCCCAGCUCAGCUCGGGGCUGGCUCUGUCGGACUCAGAUGGAGCCUCAGCCAGGCCCCCAGGUCCAGGCCCUGGGUGUGCAGGGAGACCGCUGGAGCCGGCCAGGGCCUGCCAGCCAGCCAGCAGCAGGACCCCAAAAAGUCCUCCAGAUGGCCCUUGGGCCUCCAGGGGAUUCGGGCUGCACUUCCGUGCCUCGAAGGCGAGCACCCCUGCAGUGUAUCUAAAAUGUUACUUACUGUUCCAGCCUACAACGAUCAAGGUAAGAAAUGCUCAACGGGAUGGCCCAGAUCCCGCCCCUCGCACGAAGCAGCCGCGCGCGCGUCCUUCGCGGGCCCGUGUCCCCGCGGGCGCCCGCACACACGCCCCGCCCCGAGAGCGCGCGGGCCGGCGCAGUUCACGGGCCGCUCCUGCCCUCUGUCGGCGCCCGGCGGCAGCGCAGCGCGCUCCUGGGCCGGCGGUUCGGCCCCUGGCACCGCGCGCCCGCUGCCCACCGCCGGGCAUCACCGGACCAAGACGUUUCCCACAGCGGGCUGCAAGGCAGGCAAGCCGACCCCCUUGUAAAGACGGCAGGGCAGAGGCUCAGAGAUGGCCAGUGACCUGCCCAGGGGCACACAGCAGGACCACAGGGAGGGACACCAGCUGAGGUUGGGACCCAGGUGUUAAGCACACUUCUGUGAGUCCCACUGGGUUCAAACCCUGGCUCUGCCCCUCAUUGCUGUGUGCCCUGAGACAGGUGACACCUCUCUGGAUCUCAUAAUUCUCAGGGUAAACUGGGGAUGACAGUAAUCCCUCUUCUUAGGAAGAUGUCACUGUUUUCAGCGCAUUCCUGGCACAUAUCCCAGGAGAGCAGGACCUUGCUUGUCUUGGCCACUCGGGUCCUUGGUCUGGCACAGGGCCUGAUAGGAAUGUGUUGACAGAAAGAAUAAAAACGCCGAGUCGAGUGGGACUGCGGACUGGUACAGCCACGCUGGACGACGGUUUGCAGCUUUAUUCAUCAUCACCAAAAACUGGAAACAACCCAAACGUCCCUCAGCUGGUGACGAGAUAAACACAGUGGCACAUCCAUGCAGUGACAGAAGGAGCCCAAAGAGAUGCGCACGCAACGUGGGCGAGUCUCAAAGGCAUGUUGCCCGGGAAAGGAGCCUUGCUUGAAAGGCUACACGCAGCCUGAUGCCAUUUAUGUGACAUCGAGAUGAUGCAGAACUAUGGGGACAGGGCACAGACCGGCGGUUGGCGGGAGCGGGGUGUGAGGGACUGCUGUAAGGGGAUAAGGCUCUGGCAGGUGCAACUCUUCUGUAUUUUGACUGGGGUGGGGGUUACACAACUGUGUGUGUUUUUCAAAACAUAGAACUAUACGUUUAUUUUUACUGUUACUGUGUGCAAGAAACAAGUAACAAUGAAAAAAAAGUUGUAAACUUUCAGAAUCACGGAGCAGAGCGACUGGGUCCCACCAGCCCUCUGGGCAGAGACGAGGGCAGGUGAGAAGUCCUGCGGCCGAGCUUUGACCUCCCCAAACCGGGAAAUGAGGUGGGGCCUGUCCCCCGCCUCCUAGAGCAGGGCCACUUCCACAGCCAUCGGCCCGGCAGAGACUGUUCUGGUCCAUGUGACGAUGGGGCGGGCAGGGCCGGGACUGCAGAGGGGCGGCACCGAUAGUCUGGGGGCUCCGCGGCAGCCUCUGAAGGCUUCCAUCCACUUCUGGCGCUGCGGAGGCCAGGUGUUGCCCGUGGGAGGUCAUCGUGUUGUACUCUCCGCAUUUUUCACGUUUGAACUAUUUCCUUAAUAAACAUGAUCAAUAAUACAGUAAUUUAAAAACAAGAACACAGUGAUUCCCAUUGCAGAAGCCUGUCGGCCUCUCCGGCGGCGCUGGGAGGAGCCCUCUUUCUGCCCACUGCACAGAAGAGUAGACUGAGGCUUCGCGAGACGCCCAGCCGGAUGCGCGGGGGGCAGCCAGGAACAGAAGCCGGAGGCCUGCAUGCAGCCCCACCGCCGACCCACCAGAGACGAUUCUCAGGGCCGAGGUGUUGGAGAAUGGCCUGGUUUCUCCCCUUGGGAAGAGGGUGUGUGUGUGUUUCUUGGUGUCGCUCCCUCCGCUGCUGCAGCCCCAGUCCGCACUCUGCCCCUCACCCUCCAGGGAAAGGGCGUGGGCUUCCCACCUGCCAGGCUCUGGCCCAGAACCAAACGGGGCAGGGGUUGUCCCUGAGGAUGGGCCGUGGGCAGUGAGGAUGCUCAUGGAGCGCCUGUCCGCUGCCAAAGCAGUUUUACUGAGAUCUAACUUACACGCCAUAACGCCUCCCCACUGGCAGAGCGCGGCCCAGGGGUCUGAGCACGUUCCGAGUGUGAGCCCAUCACCGCAAUCCAACUUCAGAACAUCUGUCCCCAGAAAGCAACGCCACAUCCAGCAGCAGUCCUCCCACCCCCCUAGGUGCCCAGUGCCCAGCCACCACGAGCCUGCUGGCUGUACCCGUGGGACGACCUCUCCGCACAUUUCGUGCGAAUGGACAUCCCCCGCAUGCGCCCUUUGGUGUCCAGCUUCUCUCACUACGAUGACGUGCUCAGGGUCGCCCAUGCCUGGCCUGUGUCAGGAUUUCCUUCCUUUUUGUGGCUAAUAAUGAUCUGUUGUACGGAUUGACCACAUUUUGUUCGUCUGUAUAUGACAUUUGGGUCAUUUCCACCUUUUGGCUAUUAUGAAUCAUGCCGUGAACAUUCAUGUUUCUUGAGAUAUGAUCCACAUACUAUACGAUUCGCUCGUUUGAAGUGUCUAAUUCAACGGUUUUCCGUGUACUCACAGAGUGUAACAUCAUCACCACAAUUUGAGAAC